rnacentral:misc_RNA from 1 species
UUUCCGUAGGUGAACCUGCGGAAGGAUCAUUAUUGUAUAACCGAGGUGCGAGGGCUGUCGCUGACCCGAAAGGUCGUGCACGCCCGAGCGCCUCACACACAUCCAUCUCACCCCUAUGUGCACCACCGCGUGGGUCCCCCUUUGGCUUGUUCGGAGGGGGGCUUACGUUUUCACACAAACUUUGUAUGCAGUGUAGAAUGUAUUUUUUGUUUUUGCGAUCACGCAAUCAAUACAACUUUCAACAACGGAUCUCUUGGCUCUC